UAUAUCCUCUGACUCUUUUUUUUCUCUUCCUCCUUUGGUUUUUGAGAUAAAGUGGAAGGAAAUGAAGAAGAAGUUGUGAGAGGGGGGAGAAGAAAAAGAUAUGGAGCAGAAAAAGAUGUGGUUUGAAUUCUUCUUCUUUUU
rnacentral:ribozyme from 13 species